GACGAACGCUGGCGGCGUGCUUAACACAUGCAAGUCGAACGGAAAGGCCCUGCUUUUGUGGGGUGCUCGAGUGGCGAACGGGUGAGUAACACGUGAGUAACCUGCCCUUGACUUUGGGAUAACUUCAGGAAACUGGGGCUAAUACCGGAUAGGAGCUCCUGCUGCAUGGUGGGGGUUGGAAAGUUUGGGCGGUUGGGGAUGGACUUGGGGCUUAUCAGCUUGUUGGUGGGGUAGUGGCUUACCAAGGCUUUGACGGGUAGCCGGCCUGAGAGGGUGACCGGCCACAUUGGGACUGAGAUACGGCCCAGACUCCUACGGGAGGCAGCAGUGGGGAAUAUUGCACAAUGGGCGGAAGCCUGAUGCAGCAACGCCGCGUGCGGGAUGACGGCCUUCGGGUUGUAAACCGCUUUCGCCUGUGACGAAGCGUGAGUGACGGUAAUGGGUAAAGAAGCACCGGCUAACUACGUGCCAGCAGCCGCCGUAACAC
rnacentral:rRNA from 1 species